UACGUAGGGACCAAGCGUUGUUCGGAUUUACUGGGCGUAAAGGGCGCGUAGGCGGCAAUUCAAGUCAGCUGUGAAAUCUCCGGGCUUAACUCGGAACGGUCAGCUGAUACUGCUUUGCUAGAGUACAGAAGGGGCAAUCGGAAUUCUUGGUGUAGCGGUGAAAUGCGUAGAUAUCAAGAGGAACACCUGAGGUGAAGACGGGUUGCUGGGCUGAUACUGACGCUGAGGCGCGAAAGCUAGGGGAGCAAACGGG
rnacentral:rRNA from 1 species